AGUGAACGCUGGCGGUAGGCCUAACACAUGCAAGUCGAACGGCAGCACAGUAAGAGCUUGCUCUUACGGGUGGCGAGUGGCGGACGGGUGAGGAAUACAUCGGAAUCUACUUUUUCGUGGGGGAUAACGUAGGGAAACUUACGCUAAUACCGCAUACGACCUACGGGUGAAAGCAGGGGAUCGUCGGACCUUGCGCGAUUGAACUAGCCGAUGUCGGAUUAGCUAGUUGGGGGGGUAAAGGCCCACCAAGGCGACGAUCCGUAGCUGGUCUGAGAGGAUGAUCAGCCACACUGGAACUUAGACACGGUCCAGACUCCUACGGGAGGCAGCAGUGGGGAAUAUUGGACAAUGGGCGCAAGCCUGAUCCAGCCAUACCGCGUGGGUGAAGAAGGCCUUCGGGUUGUAAAGCCCUUUUGUUGGGAAAGAAAAGCAGCAGGUUAAUACCCCGCUGUUCUGACGGUACCCAAAGAAUAAGCACCGGCUAACUUCGUG
rnacentral:rRNA from 1 species